rnacentral:rRNA from 1 species
UACGGAGGGUGCAAGCGUUGUUCGGAAUUACUGGGCGUAAAGCGCGUGUAGGCGGCUUUGCAAGUCGGGUGUGAAAGCCCUCAGCUUAACUGAGGAAGUGCGCCCGAAACUGCAGAGCUCGAGUACCGGAGAGGAUGGUGGAAUUCCCCAAGUAGGGGUGAAAUUCGUAGAGAUGGGGAGGAACACCGGUGGCGAAGGCGACCAUCUGGACGGAUACUGACGCUGAGACGCGAAAGCGUGGGUAGCAAACAGG